CCUACGGGAGGCAGCAGUGGGGAAUAUUGGGCAAUGGAGGAAACUCUGACCCAGCGACGCCGCGUGCGGGAUGAAGGCCUUCGGGUUGUAAACCGCUUUCAGCAGGGAAGAAGCGAAAGUGACGGUACCUGCAGAAGAAGCACCGGCUAACUAUGUGCCAGCAGCCGCGGUAAUACAUAGGGUGCAAGCGUUGUCCGGAAUUAUUGGGCGUAAAGAGCUCGUAGGUGGUUCGUCACGUCGGAUGUGAAAAUCUGGGGCUUAACCCCAGACCUGCAUUCGAUACGGGCGAGCUUGAGUAUGGUAGGGGAGUCUGGAAUUCCUGGUGUAGCGGUGGAAUGCGCAGAUAUCAGGAGGAACACCAAUGGCGAAGGCAGGACUCUGGGCCAUUACUGACACUGAGGAGCGAAAGCGUGGGGAGCGAACAGGAUUAGAUACCCUGGUAGUCCACGCCGUAAACGGUGGGCACUAGUUGUGGGGACCUUCCACGGUCUCUGCGACGCAGCUACGACAUAGUCGCCCGGCCGUCGGGAGGUACGAGCGACGAAGUAAGUUAAACGUAACGUUAAAGAAGUAGUUAGACGUGNGAGCGCGACGGACGGACGACGAGGAGGAGGAG
rnacentral:rRNA from 1 species